UUUACUACAUAUAUAGCUGGUGGUAAAUUCAAAAAUAUGUAGAUGAGCAAAUCAAGUAUAGUAAGGGCAGUGCAGAGUAGAUCGGUGGAAAUGGGCAGCUGGAGGUGGGAGAACCACCAUAGAUCUGAAGCAUCCAGCUCUAGGACCAGGGACACUCGGAGAAAGGACACAGAAAGAAACAGAGUGAAUGUAAUGCAAUAAUGGUAUAUAUAGUAAAUACAUAGGUAGUUAGAGAAGGGCUCAGUGCAUCAAGAGAGGUCCCCCAGCAGCCUAGGCCUAUAGCAGCAUAACUAGGGGCAAACUAAAGGAUGUCGAGAGGGGAAGUCAGUUGUGCAAAUGAAAACACCAGCUCACCCCGUCAGGUCACUAGGUACAUUGUAUUUAUAUUGGUACCAACCUGCUGUUCAUCUGGUUCCUUCUGUUUAUGUUCUCUCUGUGACUUUGCAGGGUUUUCUCUUUGUGCUCCGACUUCCUCCUGCAAUCCAAACACAUACAUGGAAAGUUAGCUGGUGAUUCUAAACUAAAAUUAAGUGUUAGUGUGAAUGGUUGUCUGUCUCUUUGUGAUUGCUCUGAGGUGGACUGGUGACCUGCAGCUCCAACACCUCUAUAGGAUAAAAGGUGUAGCUAAUGGAUAGAGGACGCCCUUUGUUACAGGGCACAACAUACACAAAAUAAACAAACACAAUAGGAUUAGAUUUCUUUGUUGUCUCACCUUUUGUGUCACUGUAAUAAGCAUCCCCUCUUCCAUAAUCUGAGCUCAGAUGCUGAGGCUGCUCCUUAUCUAGUAUCUUGUCCUGAUUUGAUCUUUCAUUGUACUGGGUGUCUUGGAGAGAGAGCUCUAAAGAGAGCAAAACACAGCAAGCAGGUUCAUUAAAGCACAGAUAAUUAUAUUAGAACUGCACAUGCUCAUAUUAACAUGUAGUAUCUAAUGAACCAGUUCACUCCAUGGACUCAUCUUGUUUUAGAUGAGUGGUCUCACGUCUCAGGCACUGGUCCUGGAUCUGUUUCCCAUCAUCCUUUUCUUCUUAACAACUUAUUGCUCUUCGGUGUUCCAUCAUUUUUGAAAUCGCUUGGUGUCCAGCAAGCAGCUAUUAAGAAAAAACACAUAUAGACUGAUUUUAUUUCUGAUUCUUACCUAAAUAAUUACAUUUUCUCAGUCAGCAAUAUGCAGUAUACUAAAUCCUUCUGUAAACAUGCAGCAUGUGUACGGUGAUUCUUUCUAAAGUACAUUUAAAUUACCAGAGCGUUCUGCUCCUUAGAAAGUUUUGAUGUCGUCUCCUUGCAGGCUGCUUGUCGUCUCUGGUGGGCUCGGUUCCUCGUCUUCAUGCGUCCACUGCAGCUGUGUCUCAUCCUUGAGUCCACUUCUCAUCCUUCUUUGAGUUUUGAGUCAAGGAGUCAUCAGAAUUUGGAGCUGAAAAAACAACAGGAAAACAAGAUUCAAGGAUGGGCUUUCAACUUUGGGUGUUAUUCAUGCUUUGGAACAACAUGCAGCGGUCUUCAAAGCCUUCAUGUGUUCAAGUGAGGAAGAGCUGACCUCUGCAAAACUAGAGGACAUCUUUGAGUUCCAACUCAGCAUAAAGGGUAGCACAAGACAACAAGACAAGAAAAAACCAGAGUACUGGGAUUCUGGCAUGAUUAUCUGCUUGAAACAGAAGAAAAACAGACAGGUCUCUCCCUCAACGACAUCCUGAUGUUCGCAACAGGGUUGAACACAUUGCCUCCAGCAGGAAUUCAUCCACGGCCCAGACUGGUUUUCCAGGAGACUUCAAGGUUCCCUGUCAGCAGCACCUGCGCCAACACAAUUCAGAUACCAAUGUCCCCAGAUUACAAACAGUUUUGGAAUUCAAAACUUGCCUGGAUUUGGGUUGUACUAGGUUUUAGGAGGUAUUUUACACUGUUCUGUAAAUAGUUCACUCACAUGUGUUUAAAUGUCAGCCAUGUUCUUCAGUGUUAUAGUUUUCAACACAGGACCUCCAGGUCGAUGGCUGCAAUAGACCACUACGUCUCUGUAGGUCCUCAAAGUGUGCCUGGAGAUGGACAUCUCCUCAUGGAGUACCUUAUGACACAGUACUAAACUGUCCCAAUUCCUCCUGAGAAACUGGGAGACCACAGUUUGUCCCACCAAACCUGGAGGCGAAAAAUCCAAAGCAUA